rnacentral:lncRNA from 1 species
GGUUUUCAUUCUUACCUUUGAGUUUUGCUCCCUCCUCUUUUUGCUCUGCGUGCGAUCUUCUUCUCCCCCGUUUUGAUUAAAAAUCUCUUAAAUUAAUCCUUGUUGUAUAUUGACCCUUGAAGAGCCAUCUUGUUACGGUAACUCUUAGCUUGGCUGAGUCUUUUUUUCUUUUUUUGGUUAGGGCUGUAUGUCACAAAUGAUUGGUUGUGUUUUGUAUAUCCAUAUGGGUCAAUGACCAAAAUUGGUUCUGCUGAGUGGUUUUAUGUACAUGAUACUCUCUCUUGGACAGCAGAUUUGCACUAGUGGAACAGACUCCAGUUUCUGAGCCUCCCAGAUUAUGUCUAUUUGCUUAAUUGGGCCAACAUAUUUGGUGAUUUUUGUGUUCAAUUUCGUUUAUACUUUCAGUUUUCUAUUUAGAUUUGUUUUAUCAAUUAAUAUCUCAUCAAGAAAACCCAACAAGUGAAUAACCCGGUUCGAAUUUUACAUGACAAAGUUGAAAGGCUUGAGAAAACUUAUAAUCCGAUUCAGGUUGAAUCGAUCAAUUCACGAGACUUCAUCGCUAUUUUUUUAACAAAUAUGUGAAGUUAUAAUUGAACCGGUUCUUAAUUUCUCCAAUUGAACCAAUCGGAUUGACUUGACUUUAUCAAAAGGAAAAUGAAUAUGUGUAGUAAAUUAAAAG